rnacentral:rRNA from 1 species
GACGAACGCUGGCGGCGUGCCUAAUACAUGCAAGUCGAACGCUGAAGGAGGAGCUUGCUUCUCUGGAUGAGUUGCGAACGGGUGAGUAACGCGUAGGUAACCUGCCUGGUAGCGGGGGAUAACUAUUGGAAACGAUAGCUAAUACCGCAUAAUAGUAGAUGUCGCAUGACAUUUGCUUAAAAGGUGCAAUUGCAUCACUACCAGAUGGACCUGCGUUGUAUUAGCUAGUUGGUGAGGUAACGGCUCACCAAGGCAACGAUACAUAGCCGACCUGAGAGGGUGAUCGGCCACACUGGGACUGAGACACGGCCCAGACUCCUACGGGAGGCAGCAGUAGGGAAUCUUCGGCAAUGGACGGAAGUCUGACCGAGCAACGCCGCGGGAGUGAAGAAGGGUUUCGGAUCGUAAAGCUCUGUUGUAAGAGAAGAACGAGUGUGAGAGUGGAAAGUUCACACUGUGACGGUAGCUUACCAGAAAGGGACGGCUAACUACGUG